UACGUAGGUGGCGAGCGUUGUCCGGAAUUACUGGGCGUAAAGGGCGUGUAGGCGGCCUUUUAAGUCAGACGUGAAAACCCUGGGCUUAACCCAGGACCUGCGUUUGAUACUGAAGGGCUUGAGGACCGGAGAGGACAGUGGAAUUCCCAGUGUAGCGGUGAAAUGCGUAGAUAUUGGGAGGAACACCAGUGGCGAAGGCGACUGUCUGGACGGCACCUGACGCUGAGGCGCGAAAGCCAGGGGAGCAAACGGG
rnacentral:rRNA from 1 species